rnacentral:tRNA from 1 species
UAAGUAAGGGCCGGGUUGGGCGUCUGAUUGUUACUCAGAAGGGGCACAAAGAGUGUUUACUUAG